rnacentral:rRNA from 1 species
AUUGAACGCUGGCGGCAGGCUUAACACAUGCAAGUCGAGCGAGCGGCGGACGGGGGAGUAAUGUCUGGGAAACUGCCUGAUGGAGGGGGAUAACUACUGGAAACGGUAGCUAAUACCGCAUAACAUCAGAUGUGCCCAGAUGGGAGUAGCUAGUAGGUGGGGUAAUGGCUCACCUAGGCGACGAUCCCUAGCUGGUCUGAGAGGAUGAACAUCCACACUGGAACUGAGACACGGGCCAGACUCCUACGGUAGCCAGCAGUGGGGAAUAUUGCACAAUGGGCGCAAGCCUGAUGCAGCCAUGCCGCGUGUGUGAAGAAUGCCUUCGGGUUGUAAAGCACUUUCAGCGAGGAGGCGUUACUCGCAGAAGAAGCACCGGCUAACUCCGUGCCAGCCGCCGCGGUAAUUC